CCCAAUAAAAUGCUGUUCUUAAACUUAAACCUUGAUUUGAUAAUCUCAAUUAAUUACUUUAAUAACAUUGGAAUGCUGAAGUCUGUCAGUUUUGUGGACCCUGAUAACAUCUUUGGAAACCGAAACCUUUUAUAGAUCCCGAUGUGUGUGAUCAUGUUUUAAUACAUGUUGGAACCUCCAUACAGUUAUCCCACUUAAACAAUAUAUUUUUUUCAGAACAACUAGGAAUGAAAUAGGAGAAACAAAAUAAAUUACUAUUGUUCUAAAGUGCUUUGUUUAAUACAAGUUUAGGAAGAGUUGUCUUGCUGUGUUGCAAGUGGCCUCUGAUAAGGAAGGGACAGCAAACUGUAGACAUAUGUUAUAUUAAGUUGCUCUCACUUGUCAGGUCUUGGAAACCCACUUAUUUUAUUGCAGAUGCCUCUAGGAUACCACGUUACAAAUUGACUAAGCAUGCUUAUUAUCCUAUUUUAUUUUAGUUAUUUCACAUUGCGCAGCCUAUGCAAACAAUGUCUAGGUCCCAACUUCAGCUUGUACAUCCUCUAAGAGCCAGCAUUAAUACUGUUUUAUCUAUAAAAACUAUAUAUAAAGUAUUAAAAACAUGAACCAUCUGUGUAUUAGGCUGAGGUUGUUGGGUGUGGGUAUAGCUUGAAAGUUGUGGUUGGUAUUGAGGAACCUGCCAGGGUGGGAGUCCUUGAAUGCCAGCUGGGCCAGGUUGACCAGGAGAACCGGGUUCACCACAAGCACCUUUGGGUGAAUCCCUGCUAUCCAUAAUUAAAACAGUGCUGAAGUUACCAUCUCUACAAAAGUUAAAUCCUUUGAUCAAAUUCUCUACCUCUGCUUCUAAAACUUUUCUGAUUCAAUCUAUCACCUCCAAACUUUCUUUGUCUCGCCUGCUUAAGAUCACAAUCCUUUUGUGACCGAUACAACAUACUUUUCCCUUUUUCUUUAUAUCCAAAACAACCUGCUGUAUCUUUCUCAUGAAUCUUCCCAAGAAAUUCAGUUGGGGUCAAAGAGGGCCAGUCACAGACCAACAGUUUGACCAAAAGUGAACAAGGAGGAAGCAUAUUCCAUAUGAAGGUCGAGAUGACUUAACUCACACCCCCUCUUUGUGUACACCUAUUUGUGUACCACACAGAUAUAAUAUUAAUAGGCUUUUGAAGAUUUAUUGUGCAUGUAUAGCACGGUUGUCUAGGGGUGUAUACAUAAACAGUGAAAGCAGAGUCUUCACAUAGGGUUUGCAAUACUGACAGUC